rnacentral:rRNA from 1 species
GACGAACGCUGGCGGCGUGCUUAACACAUGCCAGUCGAACGGAAGGGCCCUGCUUUUGUGGGGUGCUCGAGUGGCGAACGGGUGAGUAACACGUGAGUAACCUGCCCUUGACUUUGGGAUAACUUCAGGAAACUGGGGCUAAUACCGGAUAGGAGCUCCUGCUGCAUGGUGGGGGUUGGAAAGUUUCGGCGGUUGGGGAUGGACUCGCGGCUUAUCAGCUUGUUGGUGGGGUAGUGGCUUACCAAGGCUUUGACGGGUAGCCGGCCUGAGAGGGUGACCGGCCACAUUGGGACUGAGAUACGGCCCAGACUCCUACGGGAGGCAGCAGUGGGGAAUAUUGCACAAUGGGCGGGAGCCUGAUGCAGCAACGCCGCGUGCGGGAUGACGGCCUUCGGGUUGUAAACCGCUUUCGCCUGUGACGAAGCGUGAGUGACGGUAAUGGGUAAAGAAGCACCGGCUAACUACGUG